CCAAUAGCGUAUAUUAAAGUUGUUGCAGUUAAAAAGCUCGUAGUUGAACUUCGGGGUCUACCCAUUGGUCAGGCUUAAUUGUCUGUACUGGUGAGAUGGAUCUCUACCUUCUGAGGAACUUUCAUGCCAUUUAUUUGGUGUGGUUGGAAAUCAGGACUGUUACUUUGAAAAAAUUAGAGUGUUUAAAGCAGACUAUCGUCUGAAUACAUUAGCAUGGAAUAAUGAAAUAGGACGGACUGAUUCUAUUUCGUUGGUUUCUAGGAUCACCGUAAUGAUUAAUAGGGAUAGUUGGGGGCAUUAGUAUUCAAUUGUCAGAGGUGAAAUUCUUGGAUUUAUUGAAGACUAACUACUGCGAAAGCAUUUGCCAAGGAUGUUUUCAUUAAUCAAGAACGAAAGUUAGGGGAUCGAAGACGAUCAGAUACCGUCGUAGUCUUAACCAUAAACUAUGCCGACUAGGGAUCGGACGAAGUUAAUUUUAUAAUGACGCGUUCGGCACCUUACG
rnacentral:sRNA from 2 species